UCAACAUUCUCUUUUGAAAACUUGUCGUUUAUUUAUUUACAAAAAUAGCCGAAAGAUCGAAGGUAAAGCCAAACUACACGUGUAUGAACGAUUCCAUUUGUAUGCUAAAUACAUAUAUACUUUGCCAACUUUCGUGUAGAGGGAUCUCGAUUCCUGAACUAUUUUCGUUGGUAGGCGUGUUUCUUGCUGAAACCGGCUUGUGCCAAACGGCUCUUCCUUCAACUACGGAUACAUAACACGUAACUACGUAACGAUUCUAUGUAUGUAUUUGUGCAUAGUUAUGGUUGUGUUUAAGAUGGACGAAACUUAUUAAGGAGAAUUACGUCAUUGUUGGAUCAGUGCCUCGAACGACUAGACUGCGUGAUAUACAUAUGUUGCAAACGCAUCGAUUAUAAAACACAAUGACUCGUGAUUCAUGAUUACUUUAGAGCUUAUAAAUGCGUAUGAUUGAUUCAGGCAUCUCAGAAUCAGUCAAUAAUAAUUUUUACUUGGAAUAGACGAAACUAUAGGUUUCCGUAAUAUCUUAAACGAAAAGCAUAUUUUCGAUUCUUCUACGUAAAAAUUCAAUUCUUUGUAAAGUAGCAAACAAUAAAAGUGAACACUAUUUUCUCUUUUUUCUCUAAUUUUCGUUUAUCGAUGAAAUUUGUCUUCUUUCAGGACGAGUGGGAGCAGCCGACGAAUCUUGGAUUUCAAGGUUGAUAAGAAUUAAUAUAGGAUAUACUGUAGUUCUGUUUUCCAAGAGAAAACGUGAUGAUUUCUCUGCCUAUAAUUUUUAGCAAUUAUCGAAGAUGACAGUUAAGAAUUUUUUAUCGUAACCUGUCCUUUGAUUUGAUAACUUAUGCAAAAUCAUGCUCUACAACUUUACGAAAAAUCAGCAAAAACGUUAUUUGCCGCAGUUCCAUACGAAUCGAUGACUAUUAACGAGUUUAAGCGUUUAUUUCGAUAAGCAUAAAAAACUGGUUUUUCUCCGUAUUUUUUGUCGUACUAAACAGUACAUUGUUAGUUGAAUAACAUGAACCGCGUGACUGGAAUGAUCUCUUCAAGCUAAAUUGAGGAACUACGCACUUUAGUGGUAAAGUUAAAAUAAUUUUAGCUAAAAUAUCUGGGUAAAGUUUCCACGCUAUGAAAUGACAUAGAAUAUACUAAAUCCAAUAUUAAGGAUGUUUCGUACAUAUAGAAUAAGGCAAAAUUUAUGUAUAUAUUUGCAAUUAAUGUUUGAAUUUGAUGAGAAAGAGACAAAAGGUUAAAGAAAUUUUUAAGUUUUCGAGUCUGAAAUAAAAAUAUUUCUUUUGGCUUGCAUGUAAAUGUAACAAACUCGUCGUUAUAUGUAUAAAAAACCUUGUUAUUGUUUUAUUUUUUCUUUUUUUUUUCUUUUUGCGUAAAAGAUGAAAGUACUUACGUUAAUAAAUUACUCAUUAUUAAAUAUAAUACAAUAUAUAUAUAUAUAUCUCGAAUUUUAAUCGUACUUUAUCUCUUUGUCAUACGAUAUGUAUCAACGAUAUCAUUGACCAAACCAUAAGAAAACAGAGACGAUACGUUGCAUUAUACGUAUCUAUCAUACGAAGGUAUUAAUACGAGGAGGCAUUACUGAAAUAAUGCAAUCAUAUAGAUCGAAAACACCCGAUAUUUUACUGAAAACGCUAAAAUCGAUCUAAAACGCAUGCCUGUGAUAUUAAUAUGCAAGAACACGUGGCGUAUACCUUGAACGUUAAUCGAAAAAUAAGUAUAAGACAAAAGGAAGUAUCGACUGCGUUUUCAAGAACAUUCGUCGGUAUUGAAUUAUUCCAACAAGAUCAAGGAUCGAUACGUGUGCUUUAAUAGGAAGCGAGCAUAAUUUGCGAUAAUGAUGAUAUCGAAUAUAUGUAAUAAAAAUAAGUUUACAAAAUACAAGGAACUUAAUGUUA